CCCUUAGAUGUUCUGGGCCGCACGCGCGCUACACUGACUGGUGCAACAAGUGUCUGACCUUGGCUCGAGAGGCCUGGGCAACCUUUGAACGCCAGUCGUGCUGGGGAUAGAUUCUUGCAAUUAUUAAUCUUCAACGAGGAAUUCCUAGUAAACGCAAGUCAUCAGCUUGCAUUGAUUACGUCCCUGCCCUUUGUACACACCGCCCGUCGCACCUACCGAUUGAAUGGUCCGGUGAACCCUCCGGAUCGGCCCGCGCCAACGCAAGUUGAGCAAAGGCCGAGAAGUUGGGUAAACCUUACCAUUUAGAGGAAGGUGAAGUCGUAACA
rnacentral:rRNA from 1 species